rnacentral:rRNA from 1 species
UGCAAGUCGAACGAUGAUCCGGUGCUUGCACCGGGGAUUAGUGGCGAACGGGUGAGUAACACGUGAGUAACCUGCCCUUGACUCUGGGAUAAGCCUGGGAAACCGGGUCUAAUACCGGAUAUGACCUGUCACCGCAUGGUGGUGGGUGGAAAGAUUUUUUGGUCUUGGAUGGACUCGCGGCCUAUCAGCUUGUUGGUGGGGUAAUGGCCUACCAAGGCGACGACGGGUAGCCGGCCUGAGAGGGUGACCGGCCACACUGGGACUGAGACACGGCCCAGACUCCUACGGGAGGCAGCAGUGGGGAAUAUUGCACAAUGGGCGCAAGCCUGAUGCAGCGACGCCGCGUGAGGGAUGAAUGCCUUCGGGUUGUAAACCUCUUUCAGCAGGGAAGAAGCGAAAGUGACGGUACCUGCAGAAGAAGCGCCGGCUAACUACGUGCCAGCAGCCGCGGUAAUACGUAGGGCGCAAGCGUUGUCCGGAAUUAUUGGGCGUAAAGAGCUCGUAGGCGGUUUGUCGCGUCUGCUGUGAAAGCCCGGGGCUCAACCCCGGGUCUGCAGUGGGUACGGGCAGACUAGAGUGCAGUAGGGGAGACUGGAAUUCCUGGUGUAGCGGUGAAAUGCGCAGAUAUCAGGAGGAACACCGAUGGCGAAAA